AAUAUUUGUAUUUGGUUUUUCCAGUCGUCGCAGCUAUAAAUAUGUAUAAAUGAAAAAUUGUAAUUGCUGGAGUUAAUAACUAGUUGCAAACCAAUAGAGCUUAGCUAGUUCCUUGGCCAGUGCCAAGUCUCGCUAAAGUUUAUUCUGGAGCGCGCCUGAAGGCUUCAAAGUUCUGAGUGCAGCUCUUGGAAUAAUUUAACAGGCGAGCGCCUGUUUGAAGCUACGCGGCGCUACGUGGCCUCUUAAGUUCUGCCUCGCUCCAUUAGGGUGUGUUGGUGUUUGCCCAUAAUUUGGAAGUGUUGGAUGCGCUCUCCCUGAAACUCGAGGAGCACUCGACUUUACAAGCUGGAGCCGCCAAACGGAGCAGGCGAAACCCUCUCAAUGAGUGCUGAAUGAAAAGGCUUAAAGACGUAUGCGCUGGCAGCAGCAAACAAUGCAAAGAACAAUCGCUUUCAACAAACUCAAAUGCCGAAGCGUUUAGAGCAGAGGGCGUUGAAUGAAAGAAAUCCGCCCACGGCGGGAACAGUUCCCAUUGCUCGACAUGAAGCGUUGACAGUCAGAGCAUCGCAGGAAGUGUUCGCAGGCAGCAUCAGCAUCAGCUCCAGCUUCAGCCUCGCCGUCUGCAUCAGCAUCAGCAUCACGCAGAACAACAGCAACAGGAGAGCAAACUUAGCAACUUGAGAGCAAUUUCGAACAAAUAACAUUCGCAAAAAUAUGAAGCGACCAUGCAGCAGGGGCCAGGCCGAGCGGCUAGUGGCUACGGCGCACUCUAAUCCCCGAGCGGGGCAAUAAAAGGCAUCUCGCAAA